CAGCAGUAGGGAAUCUUCCACAAUGAGCGAAAGCUUGAUGGAGCGACACAGCGUGCAGGAUGAAGGUUUUCGAAUUGUAAACUGCUGUUAUAGGGGAAGAAAAACUUGGAUAGGAAAUGAUCCAAACUUGACGGUACCUUAUUAGAAAGUGACGGCUAACUAUGUGCCAGCAGCCGCGGUAAUACAUAGGUCACAAGCGUUAUCCAGAAUUAUUGGGCGUAAAGCGUUCGUAGGCGGUUUGUUAAGUCUGGAGUUAAAGACUGGGGCUCAACCCCAGCCCGCUCUGGAUACUGGCUGACUAGAGUUACAUAGAGGUAAGUGGAAUUCUUAGUGGAGCGGUGGAAUGCGUAGAUAUUAGGAAGAACACCAAUGGCGAAGGCAGCUUACUGGAUGUACACUGACGCUCAGGGACGAAAGCGUGGGGAGCAAACAGGAUUAGAUACCCUGGUAGUCCACGCCGUAAACGAUGAUCAUUAGCCGCUAGAAUAUUUAGUGGCGCAGCUAACGCAUUAAAUGAUCCGCCUGAGUAGUAUGCUCGCAAGAGUGAAACUUAAAGGAAUUGACGGGGACCCGCACAAGCGGUGGAGCAUGUGGUUUAAUUUGAAGAUACGCGUAGAACCUUACCCACUCUUGACAUCUUCCGCAAUACUAUGGAGACAUAGUGGAGGUUAACGGAAUGACAGAUGGUGCAUGGUUGUCGUCAGCUCGUGCCGUGAGGUGUUAGGUUAAGUCCUGCAACGAGCGCAACCCCUGUCUUUAGUUACUAACGGAUAAUGCCGAGGACUCUAGAGAGACUGACUGGGUAACCAGUAGGAAGGUGGGGACGACGUCAAAUCAUCAUGCCUCUUACGAGUGGGGCAACACACGUGCUACAAUGGACGGUACAAAGAGAAGCAAUAUGGUGACAUGGAGCAAACCUCAAAAACCGUUCUCAGUUCGGAUUGAAGUCUGAAACUCGACUUCAUGAAGUUGGAAUCGCUAGUAAUCGUAGAUCAGCUACGCUACGGUGAAUACGUUCUCGGGUCUUG
rnacentral:rRNA from 1 species